rnacentral:rRNA from 1 species
AGGGCACCACCAGGAGUGGAGCCUGCGGCUUAAUUUGACUCAACACGGGGAAACUUACCCGGCCUGGACACUGGAAGGAUUGACAGAUUGAGAGCUCUUUCUUGAUUCAGUGGGUGGUGGUGCAUGGCCGUUCUUAGUUGGUGGAGCGAUUUGUCUGGUUAAUUCCGGUAACGAACGAGACUCUAGCCUAUUAAAUAGGCUCCCGGCUUUUAAACGCCGGGAGGACUUCUUAGAGGGACAGGUGGCGGUUCAGCCGCACGAAAGAGAGCAAUAACAGGUCUGUGAUGCCCUUUGUUGUCCAGGGCCGCACGCGCGCUACACUGAAGAGAUCAGCGUGCUUUAUGUUCCUGCUCCGACCGGAGUGGGGAACCCAGUGAACCUUCUUCGUGAUUGGGAUAGAAGAUUGUAAUUAUUCUUCUUGAACGAGGAAUUCCCAGUAAAUGCGAGUCAUAAGCUCGCGUUGAUUACGUCCCUGCCCUUUGUACACACCGCCCGUCGCUACUACCGAUUGAACGAUUU